AAUGUACCAAUUCUUGGAAUUCAAAAUUUGCCAAAUGUGUUAUAUGUGUCAAUUAUUUAUAUAAUUAAGUAAAACUUUAAAAAAAGAGAGAGCGUGUAGUUGUAGAUGAUGCAUGAAGAUGAAGCAAACUACACGUUGCUGAUGAUAGAGAGAGAAAAAUUAGCAUAGAAAAAUUGAGUCUUUAGUUUAUUUGAUUGGAGGAAAAUACAAGAAAAAAAAACAAAUAUAACAAUCAUAAUAUAUAAAAAGGUCAGUCUUCUCCCUUAAUAUUUUCUCUGUUAUUUCAGUGUGAUGAAGAAGAAACAUCAAAAGUUUAAACCACUCCGAGAGCUGUAUGAUCGUGACGUUACCCUUUUGAAAUCCAAGGACGUUGACUUGUUGAAAGCCUCUCCGGAGUCAACUAUAGAUCAAGCUUUAGUUGUUGAUCCUUCUCAGGAUAGAAAAGGCGAUAGUCACGGGAAGCUAUCCAGUAGUGAAGUGAGUAACAUACCUUCUACUUCUUGCCAGAGCUCAUUUUCUGACGACCUUCAGAGUUUGGACUCUCUGAAAUCUCCUGGUUACUCUAAAGAUUUGCCAAUGCUUCAAAUUGCAAUUACUUCUCAGACUACAGUAAAACGUCAGGAUCAAGAUGUUUUUGACUGCCAAGGGGACAACAGCUCUUGUAUAAGUAAAGACGAUGGUGCAGCUAUGAUUAGUAGUGAUCAAUAUGGUGGUGAAGAUCACAAAAUAGUUACAUCCCGAGCAGUUUCAGUUAGUAGCCCCUAUCCUGAUGUUUUGGAGAAAUCUUUGAAUGUUCUGUCUAUUAGUAAAGGUUCCCCAAUUGCCAGCACACAGGAUCCCUGUCUUCAAAACCAGAAUUUAAUGCAUGAGGACAGAGCAGAUGAACCAGAUGAAUUGGUGGAUGUAAGAAUAUGUGAUAUUUGUGGUGAUGCUGGUCGAGAGGCAUCACUUGCUCUUUGUAGCAAGUGCAGUGAUGGAGCAGAGCAUAUUUACUGCAUGAGCCCUAAAAUGGAUAAAGUGUCCGAAGGUGAUUGGUUUUGCGAAGAGUGCUUGUUGAUGCAAGAUCCAAAGAGACAGAGGCAAGUUAUGAUGGAGGGACCAGACGAUGCUCCAAACUCAUCACGGAUACAGGAACCUAGUCAAGGUUCACCAACAAUUAUAUCUGCUAUUCAUCAUGAUGGUAAAAUGAAGACAAAUCAUUCGAGUAAAGCUUCCUGCUCAUCUGAUAAGAGACCUGGGCUUGCUAUAGAUGUGAGAUCAAAAGCAAAGAAAGGAAUUGAUGACAGAAGUGCUCAACCGCUGAAGAUUUCUGACUCUGGAGGGAAUUCGCGGUUGACUCAUAGAUCUUCAUUGAAGAACAUGAAUGAGAAGAAAAAUGCUUCUCGUCAGGUAUCUUCUUUUGUUGUUCCUGAUAACAAAAUGGUGAAGCAAGGUUCAUCAGAACAUAGAUCAUCCAAACCUGAACAACAAUCUUGUGGAGGGUCUUUUACCGAUAAAAAAAUAGUUGACAGUUCUGUCUCAAAUUUGGAAGUACAACACUCGAGGGAAGAUAUCCAUCAAAGGAGAAGAUCUACCGAAGAUAAAGCUGACUGUGAACUGAAGAAGGAUCAUCCUGACAAGAAGGUGGUCGAAUCUUUGUCAUUGGCUGGUGCCAGCUCAAUGCCUCCAGAGGUUUCAAAUAUGCAGUCUUCCGUUUCAAAUAUUAAGGGUGUACGAUAUGGAAAUAAAAGCAACAUUGCUGAAAAAAAUUGUUCAUUGGAGAGCAAGACCAAUCAAGUAGAUUUUCCUUCUGCUGGUUCUAGUCCUACAAAUGUUAGGUCUUCUUGUGCCAAAGUGGCUCCCCAGAUUGGUAAAGCGGCAUCUUCACCCAUAAAGAGUUUUGAGGACAAAUCUGCCAUCCAGGUUAAUGGAAAUACAAAUGUUGAAGCAUUUGAUUCCCUUGCUCUUGAAGGCAAAAACCGUGUGAACACAUCAGCUGGAUCUGUUGAAGAAAGUAAUUCUCCCAAUUGUGCAAGCUAUGUGAUCAAUUCUCCAGCCAAAAAUGUCAAUGCAUACCCUGAUCUGAGAAUGAGCUUAUCCACUCAGAAGGCUGAGCUAGCCGAGAUCAAAAGAAACAACAAUGAUGUUUCCUCUUUUACGGUUCAGCAUAUGAAAGUCAAGCCUACAAUUGAUCCGGUAAAUCUUGACCAUAUGGCUCCCAACUUGACUUCUGCAGUUCCAGAAUCUAGGUGUAUUUGGAGGGGUACUUUUAGUUUGGAGAAAAGUGGGAAACUCCCCACUGACUGCUAUGGGGUACAAGCACACUUAUCGACUCGUGCAUCAUCCAAGAUUGCUGAUUUGGUUCUUAAGUUUUCUGAUGAACUUCUGUUGAAGGAAGUGCCGCGAUUGCACACUUGGCCCAUUCAGUUUCAGAAGAAUAAUCCGAAUGAGCAAGAUAUUGCUCUCUACUUCUUUGCUCAAGAUUUGUGUAGUUAUGAAAGAAGUUACAGGAUGUUGCUAGAAGGCAUGUCAACCAAUGAUAUAGCUCUGGAAGCGAACUUUGGAGGUUUUUAACUUCUAGUUUUUCCAUCGAGCUUGCUUCCUGCUAGAUCACAUCGUGUUUCUUCACCUGCUACUUGUGGAUCACAGAACAAAUUUGUUUCUGCAUUACUCUCUGGGAGCUCUGCACUUACAUCAUACAGCUCCAUGCAUGGGCCAGAAUCUGUUAAACCAGUUGCUUUGCCAUCUUUGGCUCUAGUCACGUCUAAAGAACAAAGUAUUGAACAUGAAUUGCCUCCAUUAAAUAAACAUAUAGCAACUCUGAAAUAUCAUGAUUUCCAAGCCGAUGCUAUUACACCUGUCCGUGAUUGGAGUAAAGAGGAUUCCGGUGGGGGCCUUUAUAGUUAUGACUUGCAGAAAAAUAAUACCUUCUCUGAUAACGAUAUAAAGGGCCCCUAUGAAGACUGAUAUUAUUCCAUGUGGCCAAUUAGCGAGGGAACACACUGCAGAGGUUGGAUUUCGCUCUGAUUCAAGCUACAAGGAUAUGGGUUUUACAGCCUCUGAAUUGAGGCAGGGGCAUGACGUUUUCAGUGGGAAUUCCUUUUCUUUAGACUCGGGACCAUCAGGAUCAUCCGAUGGUGGAGAAUGUGCUAAAUCAGCUGUUGAGCUGCAGAUAGAGCCAUCAGAGAAUCCCAGGAGAUAUAAUACUCUUAAUCUCAACCACUGCUUAGACAAUAGGUCAGGUUCAGAAGAAUUGGACUUGGAUUUAGCUCUUGGAUUUCCCAGCAAAAGUGAUUAUGAACCUGAAAUUACCCUGAAUGAUGGAAUUGACCGAGACGGGGAUGUUUCAUUAGUUCUCUCUCUUGGGAUGCCAUGCUCAACUAGCUGACCUCUUCUAGGUAACCCAAGGUGUCGAGUACUUGGUGCGGUUGCUGCUGCUGCUGAGGGCCGGCUUUUAUCCUCAGGCUUUAGGUAUAGAUGGUGUAAAUAGCAUAUAUAUAGAGCAAAAGAUAACUAAUAAUAAUAAUAAUAGUUAGGUGCUUAUAUGAGCAUAUAUAGUAGUAGCUAAGGGUGUGAUGAUAGAUAUAAAGGUUUCAUACAUGUGAGAAUUGUUUCUUUUGAGCAGUGAUAGAGAUCUUUUCAGCGGCA